rnacentral:rRNA from 1 species
AGGAAGGUAGUGUAGUUAACACCUGCAUUAUUUGACGUUACCUACAGAAGAAGCACCGGCUAACUCCGUGCCAGCAGCCGCGGAAUACGGAGGGUGCGAGCGUUAAUCGGAAUUACUGGGCGUAAAGCGCAUGCAGGCGGCCUGUUAAGUCAGAUGUGAAAGCCCCGGGGCGUUAACCUCGGAAUUGCAUUUGAAACUGGCAGGCUAGAGUCUUGUAGAGGGGGUAGGAAUUUCAGGUGUAGCGGUGAAAUGCGUAGAGAUCUGAAGGAAUACCAGUGGCGAAGGCGGCCCCCUGGACAAAGACUGACGCUCAGAUGCGAAAGCGUGGGGAGCAAACAGGAUUAGAUACCCUGGUAA